rnacentral:rRNA from 1 species
GGAGGAUGCAAGCGUUAUCCGGAUUCAUUGGGUUUAAAGGGUGCGCAGGCGGAUUGGUAAGUCAGGGGUGAAAUCCCACAGCUCAACUGUGGAACUGCCUUUGAUACUGUCAGUCUAGAGUAUAGUUGAAGUUGGCGGAAUGUGUCAUGUAGCGGUGAAAUGCUUAGAUAUGACACAGAACACCGAUCGCGAAGGCAGCUAGCUAAGCUAUAACUGACGCUCAUGCACGAAAGCGUGGGGAUCAAACAGGAUUAGAUACCCUGGUAGUCCACGCUGUAAACGAUGAUUACUCGAUGUUGGCGAUACACAGUCAGCGUCUGAGCGAAAGCAAUAAGUAAUCCACCUGGGGAGUACGAUCGCAAGAUUGAAACUCAAAGGAAUUGACGGGGGCCCGCACAAGCGGAGGAGCAUGUGGUUUAAUUCGAUGAUACGCGAGGAACCUUACCUGGGCUCGAACGUAAGAUGACUGUAGGUGAAAGCUUACAUCUCUUCGGAGCAUUUUACGAGGUGCUGCAUGGUUGUCGUCAGCUCGUGCCGUGAGGUGUCGGGUUAAGUCCCAUAACGAGCGCAACCCCUACCUUUAGUUGCCAUCAGGUCAUGCUGGGGACUCUAAAGGAACUGCCUACGCAAGUAGUGAGGAAGGCGGGGAUGACGUCAAAUCAGCACGGCCCUUACGUCCAGGGCUACACACGUGCUACAAUGGCCGGUACAGAGGGCAGCUACCUGGUGACAGGAUGCAAAUCUCCAAAGCCGGUCUCAGUUCGGAUCGGAGUCUGCAACCCGACUCCGUGAAGUUGGAUUCGCUAGUAAUCGCGCAUCAGCCAUGGCGCGGUGAAUACGUUCCCGGGCCUUGUACACACCGCCCGUCAAGCCAUGGAAGCUGGGGGGACCUAAAGUCGAUAACCGCAAGGAGUC